ensembl:lncRNA
CAGAAGGCAGGGCAGGAACUUCAGGGCGUCGACAUGGACAAACAGAGCAGCAGCACAAACCCACAAGAAAGACUGGAAUGCAACACUAAGCGACAAAUAUUUCCAAGCGUAUAACGUGACCUCGCCGCUGCCUUUUGUCUUUUCUCUUUCCACUCUCCUCUCUCUGCAGGAAACCAGGAGGCCGAUGACAGAAGCGGACACAAUGCAGUGGAGGCUUCAGACGUACCAGCUCAGCAGCAGCAGCAGCAGCAGCACGGCUCGGAGCCCCGAGAGCGUGGCCCUUCUUAACCACCGUGGGGAGCCGCUUUUCCAGCAGGGGCCUCAGGGGCCACCCCAGGGGCCGGCGCCUCCUCCACAGCACCCGCAGCUGCAGUCCGUGGCGAGCACCCCCGCCCACCACCUCCACCUCCAACAGCACCACCAGCCCGCCGUUAGCAUGGCCGAUCUGCGGCCCGAGACGCUCAUCCAGUGUCAGCAGAUCGUCAAGGUCAUCGUGCUCGACAACAGCGGCCACGGCCGCGUGGAGGCCUUCCUCAGCCAGACGCCCACGCACCACCACCACUACCAGCAUCACCACCACGGCCAUCACCAGCUCAGCCAGUCGGCCAUGUCCACCCCGGUCCGAUCGCAGGACGGCUCCCAAGGCAAGGACGGCCACCAGCCCCCGCUACCCCCUCCACCCCCCCCUUACAACCACCCACACCAAUACAUCCCCCCUGACCCCCGCCUCAGCCUACAGCGGACCCCCAGUGGCUCUAGGAGCAUGGUGUAAAUAAGACUGACAUUGAUUUAGACCCUUUUCCUUGAAACACAAACACACACACACACACACACCCACACACACGCUAUUCCAUACCAACCCUAUCCCCUUCUCUAUCCAACAGUAUAUAAUGUACAUAUAUACAUACAGAAGACAGAGCUAUAAUGAAAAAAAAUGAAACCACAUCUAUAUGAAUAUAUUUAAGAUAUUAAUGAAUCAAAAAGAGAAUCAAGGUUUAAAAAGAGAUGCCGAGAAAUGAAGUGCAUAUAUAACAUUUUACUUGAUUCCACAUGUAUUUUGAAAUAUUAUGUAGUUCUAACAAAUUUCUAUAACUUUUUUGUCAGUUUUAACUCUUGCUAGAGAAAAAUCACAGAUGUUUAGUUUCUGGAUGGAUUCCUUGUAGUUCCGAUACACAACAGAACAAACACCCAAACAGAAAUACGUGAUUCCUCGAGCUUUUCAGAUUGUCUUGGUGAUGGAUGUACACCACUCCAAGGACCGCUUCUGUUCGCUUUUAUCAUCCCUAACUUCUUGCCUACUGUACUGUAUGUGUGUGUGCGUGCAUAGUUGACACUUACUGAAAAUGUGUGUGCCAAAAUACGUAAGCCUCCACUAAAAACGGACUACUUUGCACUUGACUAAACGCUAGGGCUAGAAGAAAAGAAUUAAAAAAAAAAAAAGAACAAAAAAACACUCUUCUGCUUUCAGAAAACGGUCCUUUCGCGCCUCUCCCUCAAGGAGCACAAAAAAAAAAAAAAAACGAUAAACAGAACCCUGAUAUUUCUGCGAAACCUGUCUCCUUGUUUGCGCUGUUGCUGAUUUAUUUACUUGAUGGAGAGCUUUCUCUUGUCCUCUCUGCUCUGGAAAAAAAAAAAGGACAUCCUCCGAUAAGCUGUGUUUGUCAUCCGCUCCUCUGUUGUGUUGUUGCUCUCUCUCUCUCUAUCAUCAGAAAACACUCUCUCCCAGUUGUCACUCUCCAUUGAUCAUCCUACAGUGAAGGAAUGAUGGGAAACAAAGGCAACCAAUCAUGCGGCUUCCUGCCAAACCAAAAAGCCAACGACAGCCCAGGAUAGCGCCGAUGAUUGCUGUUACUUUUCGUUUGCGUCAUAUUUGAUAUUGCCUAUGCUGCUCAUCAGUUCUUGCCUCCUUUAUCUGAUGAUGGAAUGAUAGUUUUUGAUAUUGAAGUCACAUUUUCAGGACUAUUGAAAUCGCUAUUGGGAAUUUACUCUUAUAACACAUUUUGACAUCCUUAAAUUAUUCCAUUUGGUUCCAUAUUGGCCUAUAUAUGUGUAACACGCGAUAUUGUUAUUUGUGUUCCCACAGACAAAGCGACAUGUCCUUUUUUCACAUUUUCAGGGGAAUUUCCACGGAGAUGUUAACGGCAUGGUUGUUUGAUAUCAAAAUGUGUAUGUUUAUUAUUCUCAUUCAUGCAUUCCGACUUUGUGUGAUUUCCUCUUGUGGAGCGAUGUCGGACCGCGCGCCGGUCGUACAAAACACUCCUGUGUCUCAUGUCUGUUCAGCUCCCUGAUACACUCUCUGCUCCUUGACACCACUUUCCCCUCCCACGUAACCUUUUAAUCUGACAUUUUCCAAAAGGCAAAAACAACCUAAAACACAUUUGCUGACCUCAGAGAUAUACACACACACACGCACGCACACGCAGCUCACAUUGCAAGCGCUGGCAUCAGUGGCAUUGUUUGUGCUGUCGGCUUGGCUGCUUUAAAUAAGAAUGGGACAAAGAGACUGCAUUAUUUGACCUCUUGCUCUUCACUCCAGCCUAGAUCACAUAAAUAUCACAUUCAAGCUGUGCUGGAAAGGACAAGCAAGCUACCUUUAGCCCCUUCGAAAUGCUGUUGCCCUGCCAUGCGUCCUUCACUCUGAAAUAGGUCAGCGACUGCCCCAGUCUGAAAGCGUCCAUCUUUUAAACAUAAGCCCCACCAGGCGCCGCGGAAUGGAUGCUCGGUUAACCCUGCCUCCCUUAUCUCUCUGAUUUGUUGAUUUAUAAUCACAGAGCCACUGUUGGGAGGUCCCUAUCUCAUCUUUCUGUCCUUUCCCACCUAUUAUGUUUUCACCAAACGGAAAGAGGGGGGAAAAAAGCCAAUCUGUUGUGCAGUGCUGGCAGAGGUUGAGUGUGUGUAUCUGUGCGUGUGUGUGUUUGCGUGUGUGUGUGUGUGUGUGACCUGCCCACAGAAGCAUCCUGAUCUCUCGGUGAACAGGGGGAUCUUGAUCUCACUCUUCACUUCUCUUUCUUCACAGAAUACUGACCCAAGUAAUUGCUUUUGUUAUUAUUUCAUCAAUCAGAGGCGGAUCAAUCCUUCCAAAAUGAAUCAGGAGCAAUUAUAAUUUACUGGCUGUAAAAAUGUAAAACGUUUGAAGGUGGUCUCAUGAAUUCCAUGCAUAUUGGAUCAAAAGUAUGUAUUUUACAUUGUAUGGUUGCUAAGGAGACGAUUUCUUUGUUUUUAGUUAUGUAUGUAUUUGGUUAUUCAUUUAUUUAUUCAUUUGAAACCAACAUUUAGGAAUAAUGUGAUUCUUUUCUCAUGCAUGACAUCGAUUUAUCUAUCGGAGGCCUAAUGAACUGUGAUUCCCCAGAGUCUUGAGGUUUUUCGUGCAUGAGUGAAUUUGCUCCGAGUGCAGUGCUGGGAGAGAAAGAUGCAUCUGUAUGUUCUCGGGUUUCUCUCACAACGCACUUUAAUGCGAGUAUCUUAUGUCUUUGUGGUAAAAGACUGCGUGUACUGGACGUUUAAAGUCAUAUCUGAUGAUAGCAAAUGCCCCCUCAGACAGAAAUGGAUAUUUGCGCAGAUGUGUUUUUAUCCCUUCCCCCGAUAUAACGCAUAGUGACAAGCCCAAGGUCUCAUAUGUGGCCAUUCUCAUCUUCUUGUCUUUCACUGGCCUCUGCUUAUGGUUGCACAGUGUUUUCCUAGUUGAUAACAUGUAACAAGCUCUUUGGGAUAGAUUUGCUGUGUGCGCAAUAAAUAUGAAUAUGCGAUCACAUUGAAAGGUUUAUGUUUGAUAGAAAAGCAAUGUAGCAUUUUGGGAGUGCAGCAUAUGAGUAUGGGAGCGCGGUGGCACUGGCUAACCUUAGAGAUACUGACAAAAGGGCUCUGCCAUGCCAGUGUACUGCUUCAUCUAUGAAUUGUGAAACUCCUCUUUUGAGUCUUAAGCACUGUGUUUGUUCAUAUUAGUAAAAAAGAGAUAAAAAAAAAUAACAAGAGGACAUAUUUAAGGUAGACAGGUGGAAACUGAGCAUUAUAGAUUUAUGAACAUCACCUCACCUCCCUCAGUUGGCUUUGAAUUUCUCUCUACCUGUCUUUGCAGUAUAUCAACAUGCUAUUAAAGAUGAUUUCAGUCUAUUCACCACACUGACUCGCGGUGCUUCUUUGAUCUGUUCACUCGAUUCCUCGGGCAAAUUUUAAAGCCACCAGAUGUCUGAGUCAAUACCAUUUUGAAUGACAUUCAGGAUUUCAGGAUACUGCUGAUUUUUAAGUGUCACACAGCAUUAACAUUCUAGAUGUGACCAAAAAGCAUGAAGCCAGGCUCAUUUGAAUUCACAGAAGACUCUUUUUAUUUAUCAAAAUGCGCUUUUCAUUCUGUAAUCAAAAAUCAAAACUUUUUUUUUAUUAUUAUUUUGAAUGUAAAAAGCACUUUCAUCUACAAUGAGCCUGUCUUCUAUGCUGGGUCACACAACCCUAACCCCGGGUACAAACAACUCACAGACAUAAAUAGCUCGAUCACCCGCUCUUUGAGAAAGCCCAACUAAAGAGGAGCUGCUUGUCUUUGAAAAACUGGGGAAUCUGUGCAGAGUGAAGAUGCUAAUGCAAAAUGCAGUUGUCAGUCGUGGUUUGAUGUUUACUUUUAUUGAAAUGGAAAAAAAAAUAAAAUAAACCAGUGUCAGGCAACAUUCUUCAUAUUCCUCCCGAAAUUGACAAAACACAAUCUUGUAUCACAUUUUGCACUUUUUUGUUUAAUAAAAAACAGACACUGUGCUUAGCUAUUUUGAAGCAGUUAUAUUUACAGCAGACGACUAUUUGAAUCGAAUGAGCUGAAAUGACUAUCAACAUUUAUGAAUAUAUAACAUCUUAAAUUUUAAAUGUGAAUACUGCAUAUCACAGCUGGG